rnacentral:rRNA from 1 species
UACGUAGGGUGCAAGCGUUGUCCGGAAUUAUUGGGCGUAAAGGGCUCGUAGGCGGUCCAUCGCGUCGGGAGUGAAAACCUGAGGCUCAACCUCAGGCCUGCAGUCGAUACGGGCGGACUUGAGUACUGCAGGGGAGACUGGAAUUCCUGGUGUAGCGGUGAAAUGCGCAGAUAUCAGGAGGAACACCGGUGGCGAAGGCGGGUCUCUGGACACUUACUGACGCUGAGACGCGAAAGCGUGGGGAGCAAACAGG